rnacentral:rRNA from 1 species
CCACGGGUGGCAGCAGUGGGGAAUUUUGCGCAAUGGGGGCAACCCUGACGCAGCAACGCCGCGUGAGUGAUGAAGGCCUUCGGGUCGUAAAGCUCUGUCAGAGGGGAAGAAAUGCAGGUGGUGAACAACCAUUCUGUUUGACGGUACCCUCGAAGGAAGCACCGGCUAACUCCGUGCCAGCAGCCGCGGUAAUACGGAGGGUGCGAGCGUUGUUCGGAAUUAUUGGGCGUAAAACGCGUGUAGGCGGUUUGUUAAGUCGGAUGUGAAAGCCCCGGGCUCAACCGGGAAAGGGCAUUGGAUACUGGCAGACUUGAGUACGGGAGAGGAGAGUGGAAUUCCCGGUGUAGGAGUGAAAUCCGUAGAUAUUGGGAGGAACACCGGUGGCGAAGGCGGCUCUCGGGACCGAUACUGACGCUGAGCCGCGAAAGCGGGGGGAGCAAACAGGAUUAGAUCCCCCUGUAGU